rnacentral:rRNA from 1 species
UACGGCUCAGUAACACGUGGUUAAUCUGCCCUUAGGGCGAGAACAACCCCGGGAAACUGGGGCUAACUCUCGAUAGGCGAAGAACUCUGGAAUGAGUCUUUACCUAAAUAGUGCAACGUUAUCCUCGUUGCAUCGCCUAAGGAUGAGGCCGCGACCGAUCAGGUUGUUGGCGAGGUAAUGGCUCACCAAGCCUUUUACCGGUGCGGGCCGUGAGAGCGGGAGCCCGGAGAUGGGCACUGAGACAAGGGCCCAGGCCCUACGGGGCGCAGCAGUCGCGAAAACUUUGCAAUAAGCGAAAGCUUGACAGGGCUAUCCCGAGUGCCAUCCGCCGAGGAAGGCUUUUACCCAGUCUAGAACGCUGGGGGAAUAAGGAGAGGGCAAGUCUGGUGUCAGCCGCCGCGGUAAUACCAGCUCUCCGAGUGGUGUGGAUGUUUAUUGGGCCUAAAGCAUCCGUAGCUGGCUAGGUCAGUCCCUUGUUAAAUCCACCGAAUUAAUCGUUGGAUUGCGGGGGAUACUGCUUGGCUAGGGGACGAGAGAGGCAGACGGUAUUUUCGGGGUAGGGGUGAAAUCCUAUAAUCCCGGGAAGACCACCAGUGGCGAAGGCUGUCUGCUAGAACGCGCCCGACGGUGAGGGAUGAAAGCUGGGGGAGCGAACCGGAUUAGAUACCCGGGUAGUCCCAGCUGUAAACGAUGCAGACUAGGUGUUUGGACGGCCACGUGCCGUUCUAGUGCCGCAGGGAAAGCUGUUAAGUCUGCCGCCUGGGGAGUACGAUCGCAAGAUUGAAACUUAAAGGGAAUUGGCGGGGGAGCACCACAAGGGGUGAAGCUUGCGGUUUAAUUGGAGUCAACGCCGGAAAUCUCACCGGGAGCGACAGCAGUAUGAAGCCAGAUUAAAGGUCUUGCAGACGAGCUGAGAGAGUGCAUGUGGUCGCCAGGUCGUGCCGUGAGUGUCCUGUUAGUCAAGCAACGAUCGAGACCCGCGUCCCUCUGUUUGCAACCAGCU